GUCUGGUUGAAAAGCUCCUCUAACUCAUACUGCUGUUGGGCCUCCUGGCUGAACAAGUCAUCCAUCUGCUGCUGCACCUCCUGUUGCUCACUAUCCUCCUGCUCCUCCUCUCGCUUCCUAUGCUCCUUCUCCUUCAUCUCCUCCAGCUCCUCCUUCCCCUUAUGCUGCUCCUCCAGCAUUUCCUGCAGCUCUUUAACCUUCUGCUCCUCCUUCACAUUCUGCUUCUCAUUAUCCUCCUGCUCCUUCUUCAGCUUUCCCAGCAGUACCUCCUUCACUUCCUCCGGUUCUUCCUUCAAAUCCUGCUGCAAUUUAACCUCCUGUUGCUGCUCUUUCAUCAAUUGUUCCUCUUUUACCUCUUGUCUCUUAAAAUCCUUAUGCUCCUCAACUUUCUGCUCCUCCUUCACCUCCUGCUUCCCCUUCACCUCCUGCUGCCCCUCCAGCAUUUCUUGCUUCUCCUUUAUCUCAUCCUGCCACUCCUCCAGAUUCCCCUGCUGCUCCUGCGUCACCUCAUGCAGCCCAGGAGUAGGUGUAAAAUACUGUAAUGUAGUUUCUGAUAUAGCCGAUGGGUGGUCAGCAGGUAUGACUUUUGUGGUUGUUUUGAGAUAAAAGUAACGCCUGAACCCUGUGGUCGGGUGGGGGUUAAAGUCAGGGCUCACAUCUGUGGUCGGGUCGGGGUUAAAGUUAUGCCUGAGCCCUGUUGUUGGGUGGGGGUUAAAGUUAGUGCUCAGAUCUGUGGUCUUUUUGGUGUUAGUGUCAAAAGUAAGACCAAGACCUGUGGUUAUGUAUGGGUUAGGGUUAAGGCUACGACUAAGUUCUGUGGUUGUAUUUGAGUUAAUUUUAGGGCUGAUAUUUGCAGUUGUCUUUGGUUUAAGAUCGAGGCUAAGAAUAGGAUAUGUGGUUGUAUUGGAGUUAGGAUCAAGGCUAAGAAUAGGAUGUGUGGUAGUAUUGGAGUUAGGAUCAAGGCUAAGAAUAGGAUAUGUGGUUGUAUUGGAGUUAGGAUCAAGGUUAAGAAGGGGAUGUGUGGUUGUGUCAGGAUUAAGAAUGGGAUGUGUGGUGGUGUUGGGGUUAAGGUCAAGGUUAAGAAUGGGAUGUGUGGUUGUGUCAGGAUUAAGAAUGGGAUGUGUGGUUGUGUUGGGGUUAAGAUCGAGGCUAAUAAUAGGAUGUGUGGUUGUGUCGGGAUUAAGGUUAAGAAGGGGAUGUGUGUUUGUGUCAGGAUUAAGAAUGGGAUGUGUGUUUGUGUUGUGGUUAAGAUCAAGGCUAAUAAUAGGAUGUGUGGUUGUGUCGGGGUUAAGGUUAAGAAUGGGAUAUGUGGUUUUGUUGGGGUUAAGAUCAAAGUUAAGAAGGGGAUGUGUGUUUGUGUCAGGAUUAAGAAUGGGAUGUGUGGUUGUGUUGGGGUUAAGAUUGAGGCUAAUAAUUGGAUGUGUGGUUGUGUCGGGGUUAAGGUUAAGAAUGGGAUGUGUGGUUUUGUUGGGGUUAAGAAUGGGAUGUGUGGUUGUGUUGGGGUUAAGAUCGAGGCUACGAAUAGGAUGUGUGAUUGUGUCAGGGUUAAGAAUGGGAUGUGUGGGUGUGUCAGGGUUAAGAAUAGGAUGUGUGGUUGUGUUGGGGUUAAGAUCAAGACUAAGAAUAGGCUGUGUGGUUGUGAUGUGGUUAAGAUCAAGGUUAAGAAUGGGAUGUGUGGUUGUGUUGGGGUUAAGAUCAAGGUUAAGAAUGGGAUGUGUGGUUGUGUUGGGGUUAUGGUUGGCAUUGAGACCUGUGGUUGUAUUUGGGUUAUGGUUAGGGAUGAGCUUAGUCGUCAUGUUGGGGUUGGAGUUGGUCACAUUAGAGUUAAUGUUAGGGCUGAGUUCUGUGGUCAUGUUGGGGUUAAUGUUAGGGCUGAGUUCUGUGGUCAUGUUGGGGUUAAAGUUAGGGCUGAGUUCUGUGGUCAUGUUGGGGUUAAAGUUUGGAAAUCGGGUGAUUGACAGGACUGUUUCUUGGCUACUAUUUGCUGUCAGUGGAUCUGAAAGA
ensembl:lncRNA